CUUAUCUCCUAACUUGACUCUUCAAAUCCUGCGUCGCAUCUAGGAUUCCAAAUAGAGUAUCACAACAGAUAUUUGGUAUUUGGUCCCGUGAGUUGAAACUCCAGGCACUUACCGGGAUCAUCGAGUACGUCAUCAUCACGAAGGAGUCUUCGGGCUCUUCCCGAACGAGGGGCUCGUGAUGGCUUCGCCUGUUCCGGUUUUUCUGCUCAACCAGGCUGAGUUGCUAGCCCGAUGUUCAAUCCAGCACGGAUGGAAAGCGUGGAAGGAGCCAGCCAGAUUCGAACCCUGGACUACUCACCUUGAAAUCCGGGGCGGAUGCCAUUACACUAUCGGCCAACUAUGAGAUGUGGAGUAUACUGCCCGGCCUGCUGAGUUCCUCUGGCAUUUUGUGUGUUGGUUAUGUAAAUGCAUGAAGUAUUAUAACAGGAUGGAUGAAAUCACUGCACAAAUGCUGUAGAGAGAGAGGUAAAUGGAUGUGAUCCAAGAGUCACUAUACGGACAAGGCGGUGAUGCCUGGAAAAGAAAUCUUUCAGAGUACAUAACAUUGUGGAGGCGUCAGCAGAAUUAAUAAGGAUAUCAAUGGGUCCGUGUGAGAACUGAUCUUCGCUUAGAAAAUCGAUGUGCAAUCUGUUUGAGUAGAGAUAGGAAAUUUAAAAAAAAAAUCAGGCUGAUGAAGAUCAACAGCACCUCUUCUUCCUCAGGAGGCUAAAGAAAUGUUGCAUGUCCCCUUUGAUACUCACCAUGGAAAGACGCAGCAUGAUUUGGUACAG